rnacentral:rRNA from 1 species
GACGAACGCUGGCGGCGUGCCUAAUACAUGCAAGUCGAGCGGACUUUCCGGAGUUCUUUCCCUCCGGAGGGUUAGCGGCGGGCGGGUGAGUAACACGUAGGCAACCUUCCCCUAAGACCGGGAUACCAUUCGGUAACGCUAGCUACUACCGGGUACACCGGCUUCUCGCAUGAGGGGGUCGGGAUAGGCCGAGCGAUCUGCCGCUUAUGGCUUGGCCUGCGGUGCAUUAGCUAGUUGGUGGGGUAACGGCCUACCAAGGCGAGGAGGCGUAGCCGAACUGAGAGGGUGAUAGGCCACACUGGGACUGAGACACGGCCCAGACUCCUACGGGAGGCAGCAGUAGGGAAUGUUACGCAAUGGACGCAAGUCUGACGGAGCGACGCCGCGUGAGUGAGGAAGGCCUUCGGGUCGGAAAGCUCUGUUGCCAGGGAAGAACGGGCAGGGGAGGAACUGCCCUUGGCAUGACGGUACCUGGGAAGAAAGCCCCGGCUAACUACGUG